rnacentral:rRNA from 1 species
AGAACGAACGCUGGCGGCAUGCCUAAUACAUGCAAGUCGAACGAACACUUCGGUGUUAGUGGCGCACGGGUGCGUAACGCGUGGGAAUCUGCCCUUGGGUUCGGAAUAACAGUUGGAAACGACUGCUAAUACCGGAUGAUAUCGAAAGAUACAAAGUAUUUAUCCGACCCGAGGGAUGACGCCCGCGUAGGAUUAGCUAGUUGGUAGAAGGUAAGGCUCACCGAAGGCGACGACUCCUAGCGUGGUCUGAGAGGAUGAUCACGCCACACGUGGGACUAGGACGACGACCGGCCCAGACCUCCGUACGGGAGGCAGACAGGUAAGGGAAUUAGUGGAACAAGUGGGACGACAACGCC